GGCGGACUGGGAAGGACGCGUUUCUACUGUGUGAUCCUGCCACCUUCCUUGCCCGACGCCAUGGGAGUGACUUGUUGACAUCCUCCUCCUCCUGUGUUCCUUAAUGGAAGCAAGAUACGUGAAAGAUGGAAAUGGAACGGAUGCAGUGUAGAACCCUGGAACCCUCUGCUCUUUCUUUAAAAAGAAACAAAACAAAACAGAAAUUGGAUCUUGCUGUUUUACACAUUGUGUCCCAGAUGCCUGUGGCUGAGGGCAAGAGUGUCCAGCAAACCGUAGAGCUCCUCACUCGGAAAUUGGAG